AAAAGAUAUAAAUUUGACAAGAGAAGUUAUGGUAGGCCUGAUACGAGGAAAGCAUAGGAAGGAAGUCUGUACGACAUGUUAGACGUGCGAUCGGCAUAAAGAUUUGGUCUAAAAACAGACUUGGUGUGGGAAAUGUUUAGAAAGGUGAAAGGCAUAGACAAGUGAUUGCCCGGGUAGAUUUGACUCCGGACAGUUAUAGACAAGAAGUUUCCCGGGUAGAUUUGACUCGGGACAGUUAUAGAUAAGACGUUUCCCGUUAGAUUUGACUCCGGACAGUUUUAGACAAGAAGUUUCCCGGGUAGAUUUGACUUUGGACAGUUAUAGACAAAAAGUUUCCCGGAUAGAUUUGACAGGGGGCAGUUAUAGACAAGAAGUUCCCAGGGUAGAUUUGACUCGGGACAGUUAUAGACAAGAAGUUCCACGGGUAGAUUUGACUCGGGACAGUUAUAGACAAGACGUUUCCCGUUAGAUUUGACUCUGCACAGUUAUAGACAAAAAGUUUCCCGGAUAGAUUUGACAGGGGGCAGUUAUAGACAAGAAGUUCCCCGGGUAGAUUUGACACGGGACAUUUAUAGACAAGAAGUUCCCCUGGUAGAUUUGACAGGGGACAGUUAUAGACAAGAAGUUUCCCGAGUAGAUUUGACUCGGGACAGUUAUAGACAAGAAGUUCUCCGGGUAGUUUUGACUCAGGACAGGUAUAGACAAGUGAUUUCCCGGGUAGUUUUGACUCGGGACAGUUAUAGACGAGUAGUUCCCCGCGUAGAUUUGACUCGGGACAGUUAUAGACGAGUAGUUCCCCGCGUAGAUUUGACUCGGGACAGUUAUAGACAAGACGUUUCCCGGGUAGAUUUGACUCCGGACAGUUAUAGACAAGAAGUUCCCCGGGUAGAUUUGACUCAGGACAGGUAUAGACAAGUGAUUUCCCGGGUAGAUUUGACUCCGGACAGUUAUAGACAAGAAGUUCUCCGGGUAGAUUUGACUCAGGACAGGUAUAGACAAGUGAUUUCCCUGGUAGAUUUGACUCGGGACAGUUAUAGACAAGUAGUUCCCUGGUAGAUUUGACUCGGGACAGUUAUAGAAGUGAUUUCCCUGGUAGUUUUGACUCGGGACAGUUAUAGACGAGUAGUUCCCCGCGUAGAUUUGACUCGGGACAGUUAUAGACAAGUGAUUUCCCUGGUAGAUUUGACUCGAGACAGUUAUAGACAAGAAGUUCCCCGGGUAGAUUUGACUCGGGACAGGUAUAGACAAGUGAUUUCCCGUACAGAAAAUAUAAAAACAGCGACCCCAUAGACAAGUGGCCCCUAAAGCAGGUUUAUGGUGGUAAAGGUCCAACAUGCGGUCCCUUAAGCAAUGCCAAUGGGGAAAAGGAUUUCAGAAAAUGAUGCUACAAAGGUUGGAAGUUGGAAUAGUAUAGACCAAUGUUUUCAUAGAAAUAUGGCAUGGUGAAAUAUAACUCACUAAAAGCCAGACCUGACAGAAAUAAGCAAUAGUUCCAAGCAUUGGACUUCUUCUGUCUUGCGUUGAUCGUUUGAUAUUUAAACAUAGGGGGUAGACCUAUACAAUACUGUGUAGGAAGUUACCUCCCCUAGUUCAUGGUUCUCUCCACUCAGAAAACAGGUCCCGGUAAAUAAAAAAAAACAUAAGUGUUCAUUUUAACGGAUUAUUUUUAUCCAAUUUCAAAAGCGUGUAUCUGGGAAUAUUGUGGAAGUUACUGAUUCGAUCAAACUCUAUGGUAAAACAAGGGAAUUUCGAGUUAACAGUAUGGCGGUCGAGUGAUAUCGGAGUUUCAUGUAGCAAACACACAGAUUGUCUCAAUUGAAAGGUGUUCAGUGUAUAAACAUGUGUUUUUUUCAGAUACAAAAAAAAUGUAGGUGUUCAGUAUAAAUAAAUGGUCGCCAGUCAAUGUUCACAUUCGAAUUCGAUAUUUCAACACAAAAUUCAAAAAUUGAGAAAAGCUCAACAUUAUUCAUAGAACAAAUGGGUUGUCUAUCGAACCGCACCAGGAAAUCUUUAGUAUCUACUCGACGCCGUGUUGGCACAACCUUAUUGGAACAUAUACUUCCCUAAACACAUGGGAGGUAUUGUAUGGCACAUAUACGGCGAUUGUAACUCACAUAAAGAAAUGCGGGCUCGACAUUUCUGGUUUACGAUGCCCAGAUAAUGUGCUUCCACAAUAGUGCAGAUGAAAAGGCAUUGAGAUACGGAAAAAGCAGAAAGAGGCUUGGUAGAAUGUGUUCCCGGAGACACGACUCUCGUAUGUUACAUUCCUUACCCAGGUAAACGGCUCAGUUGAAAUCUUAUCAUCUCUGCAAUAUCCAGACUUUCUAAACACGAUGCACAUAAUAUUCCAUUUACCGGUUGGUAUUAUUUCAAGUUUAAUUGUGUUCUUUUGUUAGCUUCGUAUUUAGGAAAUGAUGAGUUAUUUUUCAUCCUUCAAUAUGAUUUAUUUUUUAAUAUUAUCAUUUGCCGACUUUAAUCAUGAUGUAUUAUUUAAAACACUUGGAGUCUAAUUAAACAUAAUUAAAAGUGAAAAAAAAAAAAUCUUGGGAGAUUUACAUUAGAAAUAAAGGCAAAGUUAACCGAUAAAUUCGUGAAUAUUGAAGUUUAACAGGAGUUGUGCCAAAAAAGAAAUGCUCACUAAAAUCAAUAUGAAGAGCUAAAGACCCCAGAAACUGAUAAAUAUCAACACUCCUCCAAUGAAAAUGCUGCAGGAAAAGAUAUAUUCCUGUAGAGUCAUCGUUUCUUGAACGGCAUGUGGCACCCGUCUGAUGUCACAAUGACCUCUCAGAGACAAUAUAUAUAUCUAUAUAUUAGUUCAAUGCAAAUGAUUCGUCUAAUUUGAAAUGCAGGGAUUCUGAAUAUUUAUUUCGUUUGAUUAACCAGUGGAUUUAGGAGCCGUAUAACUUGAUUUCGCUGCUUCUUAGACUUUAGAAUCAACAUGGUCUUCAUCAUUGGAUCAUUAAAGUUGUCCCUUCCUAAUUUAAAGUUUCCUGUCAACAUAGCUUUGUGUGUCAGAGAAUGAAUGUCGGGAGAAACCUUUAUUUCUGUAUAUUGUAAAUAUUCAUUUAUGAAACAAUACGUUUCUUUUACAUUUUAGAAUAACAAUAAAAUAUUUUUGUACUC